rnacentral:ncRNA from 2 species
ACGUUAUCAAGAAAGGCGGAGGGAUUAGACCCAAUGAAGCCUUAGCAACCCUUUUUUCAAUACCCUUUCCUAGAGGGAUGAACAAAGAAGGUGCUACAUUCUAAUCCAUGUGCUGUUCCUUUUAAGGAGCGUUUAGUGCGGGAGUAGAUAACUC